AAAAUYUAAUAAGGGUGCUUUCCUCAGAUCUSUUUUSCCYGCKGGCCCCSSCCRMMAGGGGUGAUGRAUAUUUUUYYSGWWMRCCCUUAGAGUUUGAUCCUGGCUCAGAACGAACGCUGGCGGCGUGCUUAACACAUGCAAGUCGAACGUGAUUGAGAGCUUGCUCUCAUGAAAGUGGCGCACGGGUGAGUAACACGUGGAUAAUCUGCCUGGCGAUUCGGGAUAACACUUCGAAAGGGGUGCUAAUACCGGAUAAGCCCACGGUCUCUUCGGAGAGCGCGGGAAAAGGGGGCCUCUGUAUAUGCUCCUGUCGCUAGAUGAGUCCGCGGCCCAUUAGCUAGUUGGUAGGGUAAUGGCCUACCAAGGCUACGAUGGGUAGCUGGUCUGAGAGGAUGAUCAGCCACACUGGAACUGAGACACGGUCCAGACUCCUACGGGAGGCAGCAGUGGGGAAUUUUGCGCAAUGGGCGAAAGCCUGGCGCAGCAACGCCGCGUGAGUGAUGAAGGCCUUCGGGUCGUAAAGCUCUGUCAGAGGGGAAGAACCGCCGGGUGGCUAAUACCUGCCUGGUCUGACGGUACCCUCAAAGGAAGCACCGGCUAACUCCGUGCCAGCAGCCGCGGUAAUAC
rnacentral:rRNA from 1 species